AUAGUACUGAAUCUCAGAAAAACUGAUUACAUAGUUUUGCUCAAGCGUGGCUUUUGUGUUCCUGGCCUGGGCUGUGUGCAGGAGCAUGAACCAUCUGAACUCAAAGCACUACAGUGUUGCUUUUACAAGGGUGCCUCCUACAUCAGACUUUGUGGUGGAAUGUACACAUCACCUGCAGCUGUAGUCACCAGUUCCUUCCUGAGCAGGAAGUGUUCCUGGGUGGAUCCAUUGUCCCUUGUAGACAGACAUCACUACUAUAACAGCCUGCUACUACUGGAGACAAACAUGGCUUUUGAUACUGUUGAAGAUGCUGGCUGAUUAUGUCAUACUGAAGGUCCAU